rnacentral:rRNA from 1 species
UGUAGUUUCAAUGAUGAGGCAUAUAGGUCAACUAUGGGUGUUUGUUCCAACAAUUCUCAUUGGUCUCAAACCAACGACAUGCAUUUCGAUGACCAUGAGUUUGAGGUGGACGGGGAUGGUGAGGGCACCGUCGACGCACCAACAGGAACAGGAGUCAACUACACCAAUGGUGAAGACGUCUUGCUAUGCAGAACCUGGUUGCAAGUGUCGAGGGAUCCAUCCGUUGGAGGUGAUAAAAAUAGAGACGCAUAUUGGAACCGGAUGAAGGAGCGCUUUGAUCAACACAACAGGAGUGGAAUUGACCGCAAGGCACAAUCUCUUCGCUUCCGAUGGUCAACAAUCAACCGAGAUUGUCAAAAGUGGGCGGCCCCACAAAAGGCGGUUGACAAGUUGAACCCAAGUGGCACUAAUGAUAUAGAUAGAGUAAGUGCCAUUUCAUCCAUGUUCGUCAUUCUUGUUCUUGGUGUUUGUAGUGCUAACUUGUUUUGUUUUUAUGUAGUUCAACAUUGCACAAGACUUGUUCAAAGGAGAGGAGAAGAAGAGCAAGAAAGGAAAGAUCAAGAAAGGGAGACCAUUUUACCUUGCCUCAUUUCUAUGAAGAAUUGA